rnacentral:rRNA from 1 species
AGUAACCUGCCCUUGACUCUGGGAUAAGCCUGGGAAACUGGGUCUAAUACCGGAUAGGAACGUCCACCGCAUGGUGGUUGUUGGAAAGAUUUAUCGGUCAUGGAUGGACUCGCGGCCUAUCAGCUUGUUGGUGAGGUAAUGGCUCACCAAGGCGACGACGGGUAGCCGGCCUGAGAGGGUGACCGGCCACACUGGGACUGAGACACGGCCCAGACUCCUACGGGAGGCAGCAGUGGGGAAUAUUGCACAAUGGGCGAAAGCCUGAUGCAGCGACGCCGCGUGAGGGAUGACGGCCUUCGGGUUGUAAACCUCUUUCAGUAGGGAAGAAGCGAAAGUGACGGUACCUGCAGAAGAAGCACCGGCUAACUACGUGCCAGCAGCCGCGGUAAUACGUAGGGUGCGAGCGUUAUCCGGAAUUAUUGGGCGUAAAGAGCUCGUAGGCGGUUUGUCGCGUCUGUCGUGAAAGUCCGGGGCUUAACCCCGGAUCUGCGGUGGGUACGGGCAGACUAGAGUGCAGUAGGGGAGACUGGAAUUCCUGGUGUAGCGGUGGAAUGCGCAGAUAUCAGGAGGAACACCGAUGGCGAAGGCAGGUCUCUGGGCUGUAACUGACGCUGAGGAGCGAAAGCAUGGGGAGCGAACAGGAUUAGAUACCCUGGUAGUCCAUGCCGUAAACGUUGGGCACUAGGUGUGGGGACCAUUCCACGGUUUCCGCGCCGCAGCUAACGCAUUAAGUGCCCCGCCUGGGGAGUACGGCCGCAAGGCUAAAACUCAAAGGAAUUGACGGGGGCCCGCACAAGCGGCGGAGCAUGCGGAUUAAUUCGAUGCAACGCGAAGAACCUUACCAAGGCUUGACAUGUUCUCGAUCGCCGUAGAGAUACGGUUUCCCCUUUGGGGCGGGAUCACAGGUGGUGCAUGGUUGUCGUCAGCUCGUGUCGUGAGAUGUUGGGUUAAGUCCCGCAACGAGCGCAACCCUCGUUCCAUGUUGCCAGCACGUAAUGGUGGGGACUCAUGGGAGACUGCCGGGGUCAACUCGGAGGAAGGUGGGGACGACGUCAAAUCAUCAUGCCCCUUAUGUCUUGGGCUUCACGCAUGCUACAAUGGCCGGUACAAUGGGUUGCGAUACUGUGAGGUGGAGCUAAUCCCAAAAAGCCGGUCUCAGUUCGGAUUGGGGUCUGCAACUCGACCCCAUGAAGUCGGAGUCGCUAGUAAUCGCAGAUCAGCAACGCUGCGGUGAAUACGUUCCCGGGCCUUGUACA